AUGGUGAAUGUUCCGAAGACCAAGAAGACCUACUGCAAAAACAAGGAGUGCAAGAAGCACACACUUCAUAAGGUCACUCAGUACAAGAAGGGUAAGGACAGUCUGUCUGCCCAGGGAAAGCGUCGUUAUGACAGGAAGCAGUCGGGAUAUGGUGGUCAGACCAAGCCUGUUUUCCACAAGAAGGCAAAAACCACAAAGAAGAUUGUGCUGAAGCUGCAAUGCCAGAGCUGCAAGCACUACUCCCAGCGUGCCAUCAAGAGGUGCAAGCAUUUUGAGAUCGGUGGAGACAAGAAGGGCAAGGGGACAUCUCUUUUCUAG
rnacentral:rRNA from 1 species